rnacentral:rRNA from 1 species
ACAUGCAGUCGAGCGAACGGACGAGAAGCUUGCUUCUCUGAUGUUAGCGGCGGACGGGUGAGUAACACGUGGAUAACCUACCUAUAAGACUGGGAUAACUUCGGGAAACCGGAGCUAAUACCGGAUAAUAUUUUGAACCGCAUGGUUCAAAAGUGAAAGACGGUCUUGCUGUCACUUAUAGAUGGAUCCGCGCUGCAUUAGCUAGUUGGUAAGGUAACGGCUUACCAAGGCAACGAUGCAUAGCCGACCUGAGAGGGUGAUCGGCCACACUGGAACUGAGACACGGUCCAGACUCCUACGGGAGGCAGCAGUAGGGAAUCUUCCGCAAUGGGCGAAAGCCUGACGGAGCAACGCCGCGUGAGUGAUGAAGGUCUUCGGAUCGUAAAACUCUGUUAUUAGGGAAGAACAUAUGUGUAAGUAACUGUGCACAUCUUGACGGUACCUAAUCAGAAAGCCACGGCUAACUACGUGCCAGCAGCCGCGGUAAUACGUAGGUGGCAAGCGUUAUCCGGAAUUAUUGGGCGUAAAGCGCGCGUAGGCGGUUUUUUAAGUCUGAUGUGAAAGCCCACGGCUCAACCGUGGAGGGUCAUUGGAAACUGGAAAACUUGAGUGCAGAAGAGGAAAGUGGAAUUCCAUGUGUAGCGGUGAAAUGCGCAGAGAUAUGGAGGAACACCAGUGGCGAAGGCGACUUUCUGGUCUGUAACUGACGCUGAUGUGCGAAAGCGUGGGGAUCAAACAGGAUUAGAUACCCUGGUAGUCCACGCCGUAAACGAUGAGUGCUAAGUGUUAGGGGGUUUCCGCCCCUUAGUGCUGCAGCUAACGCAUUAAGCACUCCGCCUGGGGAGUACGACCGCAAGGUUGAAACUCAAAGGAAUUGACGGGGACCCGCACAAGCGGUGGAGCAUGUGGUUUAAUUCGAAGCAACGCGAAGAACCUUACCAAAUCUUGACAUCCUUUGACAACUCUAGAGAUAGAGCUUUCCCCUUCGGGGGACAAAGUGACAGGUGGUGCAUGGUUGUCGUCAGCUCGUGUCGUGAGAUGUUGGGUUAAGUCCCGCAACGAGCGCAACCCUUAAGCUUAGUUGCCAUCAUUAAGUUGGGCACUCUAAGUUGACUGCCGGUGACAAACCGGAGGAAGGUGGGGAUGACGUCAAAUCAUCAUGCCCCUUAUGAUUUGGGCUACACACGUGCUACAAUGGACAAUACAAAGGGCAGCGAAACCGCGAGGUCAAGCAAAUCCCAUAAAGUUGUUCUCAGUUCGGAUUGUAGUCUGCAACUCGACUACAUGAAGCUGGAAUCGCUAGUAAUCGUAGAUCAGCAUGCUACGGUGAAUACGUUCCCGGGUCUUGUACACACCGCCCGUCACACCACGAGAGUUUGUAACACCCGAAGCCGGUGGAGUAACCUUAGGAGCUAGCC